AUGGGCGCAAGCCUGAUCCAGCCAUGCCGCGUGUGUGAAGAAGGCCUUCGGGUUGUAAAGCACUUUCAGCGAGGAGGAAGGGUGUUGUGUUAAUAGCACAGUAUUUUGACGUUACUCGCAGAAGAAGCACCGGCUAACUCCGUGCCAGCAGCCGCGGUAAUACGGAGGGUGCAAGCGUUAAUCGGAAUUACUGGGCGUAAAGCGCACGCAGGCGGCUUGUUAAGUCGGAUGUGAAAGCCCCGGGCUCAACCUGGGAAUUGCAUUCGAUACUGGCAAGCUAGAGUAUGUGAGAGGGGGGUAGAAUUCCAAGUGUAGCGGCGAAAUGCGUAGAGAUUUGGAGGAAUACCAGUGGCGAAGGCGGCCCCCUGGCACACUACUGACGCUCAGGUGCGAAAGCGUGGGGAGCAGACAGGAUUAGAUACCC
rnacentral:rRNA from 1 species